GACGAACGCUGGCGGCGUGCUUAACACAUGCAAGUCGAACGGUGAACCAGAGCUUGCUCUGGGGAUCAGUGGCGAACGGGUGAGUAACACGUGGGCAACCUGCCCCAGACUCUGGGAUAACCUCGGGAAACCGAUGCUAAUACCGGAUACGACCACUUCGGACAUCCGACGGUGGUGGAAAGUUUUUCGGUCUGGGAUGGGCCCGCGGCCUAUCAGCUAGUUGGUGGGGUAAUGGCCUACCAAGGCGACGACGGGUAGCCGGCCUGAGAGGGCGACCGGCCACACUGGAACUGAGACACGGUCCAGACUCCUACGGGAGGCAGCAGUGAGGAAUAUUGCACAAUGGGCGAAAGCCUGAUGCAGCGACGCCGCGUGAGGGACGACGGCCUUCGGUUGUAACCGUACUUUCUAGCAGGACGAAGCGAAGUAGACUGUACCUGCAGAAGAAGCACCGGCUAACUAACGUGCCAGCAGCCGCGGUAA
rnacentral:rRNA from 1 species